CCAUGUCCGAGAAGCCGCCCCAGGAGUAGGGGAAGGUGUUGUUGUAGCCGGCCCCCGGGAGGCUCCUCUGCACCAGCACGGAGCGUGAGCGGAAGUGGUACUUGACCACCACGUUGCUCUGAUACUUGUUGUAGAACAGGGAGCCGUUGUACACCACGUGGCCUGUGCCCGCCCACGGCUGGGGCAGCAGGUGCUGGAUAAAGUUCUGGCCUUUGAUGAAGUCUCCCAGAGUGCGGAACUCCAGGACCCGCCGGCCCUUGUAAUAGCCAUCCAUGUACCAGACCUACGAGAGAGCUGCUGUCGCUGCGGAGCCGCCGCCGGCCACCCAAGGGCCCCAGCAACCACGCAAGAGUCACCCGUGGCUGUUAGGGGUCCGCGGUCGCUAAGUGGCCGUUAGUCAGUCAUGGGAUGUCCGGUGACCGUUCAGGACCGGUCAUAGUCCCAGGAAUGGGAUCGUUUGGUCGGGGAACACCACUGGUCUUAAAACAGACACUUGCUACCUAAGGAUCAAGGGAAAUCGCCAGCCCUGGUGACUCACGGGGCCCGGGAAUUCAGCAGUCACUGGAGAUAGCAUGAUUAGCGGUUACUGGCCAGCACUUGGGUGACGAGGUCACUUGAAUUCACCCCUGUAGCCACAAGAUGACCCAGCCUGCCAGCAGCAUCUCCUCUGCCAUCAUCGCCUACCGUCACCAAGUCAGCAUGGAACGACCCACCUGGAAGCUCUUUGCUGAGAGGGACCCAUCAGCCGCCCGGAGUCGUGCGUCCAGGCUUCGCAUGAGUGUCUCCAUGCUGCGCACGUACUGGAGGUCACGGUACGUCCGCAACUCAAGGACCUCCAUGGACUGGGAGACAUUCUGGACCUAGGAGCUCAGGAGGGUUAGGGAGAGCCAGACCCCUGCCCUCCCCAGCCCCUGAGAUGCCACAGACCAGGCUGGUGAAGCCAGAGGCCAACACCCCACCAACCUGCUCCCCUGAUCUGACCAGCAACCUCCUGAUGACAUGCCCAGGCCAUCCGUCUGCUCCGGCCUGGUGUGGCCACUACCACCUCUCCCCUCUCUCUCCCCUUCCUCCCUGGUCUCCGCGCUUACACCCUCGCCCCCCACAGUCCAUCCUUCACACAGCAGCCAGAGAGAGCUUUUCAAAAGGAAGACUGGAUCACCUUCCCCUGCAGCCCUGCUGGUCGGUCUUGCCUCCUCACCUGCCUUGCCUCCAUGCUCAUCCACUGGGACCACCAGCCCCCUUUCCCUGCACAGACUCAAAGCUCCUUUCCUCCUGGGGGCCCUCCCACCUGCCAAUCCCUUUCCCAGGAGCACUGUUCCCAGGCCCAUUCCACUUGCCGAUUCCUCUACAGGGAGCACUGUUCCCGGGGCCAUUCCACCUGCCGAUUCCUCUACAGGGAGCAUUGUUCUCUUUGUCUUGCCAUGCUGGCUCCUUGCAUCCUUCAGGCCUCAACCCCAGUGUCACCUGCUCAGAGUGGCCUCCUCUGACCACCCUGCCUCCAGUAACUCUUCAUCCUGUCUCCCUCACGUGGUUAUUUUCUUCCUAGCUACAACUACUGCCCAGAACAUUCUUACUCAUCUGCCUCCUUCAGGGGGGAUCGUCAUGGUCAAGAAAGACCCAGUGUCAGGCUCAUCCACAGCGAAAUCACCAGUGCCCAGCACUGACCUAAACUAGAUGCCCAGGGAGUACUUCUCAGCUACAUGAAUGAACUGAAUUCCGUCGCCCUAGCCUCUCCUAACCCAGAACGAGGACCCCCUGGCUCCCACCUCCACCUGCCUCAGGUGAAUUUCACUUGACAAAGCUGUUAACUGAUCGCCCCACAGAAGCUGUUCCCAUGAGCCGUAGCAGAGAUAAGCCAGGCUGUGAGUUACGAGCAAUCCUGGAGAUGCCAGCGAUUAGCCCACCUUUUUCCUCUCCCACUCAAUAAAGUCUUUUUUUUUUUUAAAGCUUAUUGUAAUGUGAGCAAGUGAUAUAAUUGUACAGAUGAGCUUGACUCCUCCACUGAUUUAUAAGACAACACAACCAUUCAUA